rnacentral:rRNA from 1 species
UACGGAGGGUGCGAGCGUUGUCCGGAAUCAUUGGGCGUAAAGGGCGCGUAGGUGGCCCGGUCAGUUCGUGGUGAAAGCGCGGGGCUCAACCCUGCGUCGGCCAUGAAUACUGCCGCGGCUGGAGCACUGUAGAGGCAGGCGGAAUUCCGGGUGUAGCGGUGGAAUGCGUAGAGUUCCGGAAGAACACCGGUGGCGAAGGCGGCCUGCUGGGCAGUUGCUGACACUGAGGCGCGACAGCGUGGGGAGCAAACAGG